AUUGAACGCUGGCGGCAUGCUUUACACAUGCAAGUCGAACGGCAGCGCGGGCUUCGGCCUGGCGGCGAGUGGCGAACGGGUGAGUAAUACAUCGGAACGUGCCCAGUAGUGGGGGAUAGCUCGGCGAAAGCCGGAUUAAUACCGCAUACGACCUGAGGGUGAAAGCGGGGGAUCUUCGGACCUCGCGCUAUUGGAGCGGCCGAUGGCAGAUUAGCUAGUUGGUGGGGUAAAGGCCUACCAAGGCGACGAUCUGUAGCUGGUCUGAGCGGACGACCGGCCACACUGGGACUGAGACACGGCCCAGACUCCUACGGGGGGCAGCAGUGGGGAAUUUUGGACAAUGGGCGAAAGCCUGAUCCAGCAAUGCCGCGUGUGUGAUGAAGGCCUUCGGGUUGUAAAGCACUUUUGGCGGGAACGAAAAGGACUGUGCCAAUACCACGGUUCGAUGACGGUACCCGCAGAAUAAGCACCGGCUAACUACGUG
rnacentral:rRNA from 1 species